AUAACAGUACGGCAUUCGUGGACCACCGAGGACCUCCGUGGCGCUAACGGCAGAUGACCAACUUUUGCAAUGGUUCGCUAACCAGAGGACCAUUUACGGAAAAAUCACCGCACUUGGGACCAGAUCAGGGUCAGCUGGAAACAGACAGACAGAGAGGAAUAGGUGGAUAGAGGAGAGGUGGCGUUUCCUAUCAGGGCAUAUUGUGCGUGCAGUGACCAGGACUAGCGCACCCAAGGAAAAACACAUCAUUGAACAGGCGUUGGAUGAUCCUCUGGAAGGGACUUCCACACCGAGCCCAUCCACCAGCCAACAGCACCGCAGUAGGCACAGUGCAAGCAUCGACCUCACCACACCCGGAGGUGCUGAAGAAGGGACAGAUGUAGACAGCAUUAGUAGUCUCCAUAAAACUAUUCGAGACUGCGAAAGAUUGUUGGAGGAAGGACGCGUGACACCAAUGGGCUUCACGCACAGGACAUUCGACUUCUG